ensembl:lncRNA
UUUUUUCUCUUUACAAAGUUGUAUAUAUAUUUUUAACACUGCUUGUUACAUUGUAAUUGUGUAAACACUGCUUCAGGGAGUGAUGAUAAAUUUGACGUCUUUUUCUCUUCUGACUGCCGUAAUCCAUCGCUCUAUUUUUAAUUUUUAUUAUUUUUUUGCUUGUAAAGGCAUGGAAAGGAAAUACUGGAUUUUUUUCUUUCUUUCAACUUGUAAUGCAAAAAGGAUAUUUGCUACAGUCUCCCAUAUACCUCUAUAUAAGUUUACCCUGCUAUACUUGUCAUAAGCCCAGAAAUGGAUGUAUAUGCAUGAACACAAUUCAUUAUAGCUGAUGUAUUGUGUAGCAUGAUUGAAGUGACGUGCAGGUCUUAAAAUUAUUUGUAAAUGUCUUGAAUAUGGUAUUGAUAAGUAUUACAUUUGAAGCGCUGAUACCUGCAGAGACCCUGUCUUGCAAAGAUGUGUGAAAAGAUUCGCAAAGAGUUUAUUGUAAAGCUAUUGUAAAGGAAAUGAGACACUUUGAUUUUGUUAUUUUUGUCCACAGUAGUACAAGCUCAGGAAGGCUUUGCCUAGUUGUUGUCAAACAGAAGAGGUGUGUUCAGUACGCCGUGGUGACACAGUGGCACAAAGACAGACGGCGAUUAAUCAGUAGUUGGGCAUUAUAAUGGUAAACGCCGUAAAAAUGAGCGUUAUCUAUAGACAAAGGUUUCAGCACAAAGAUCGUUGGAUUGCUGGAAAAAAGUUUAUAAUGUGAUGAUAUAUAUAUAUAUAUAUAUAUAUAUAUAUAUAUAUAUAUAUAUAUAUAUAUAUAUAUAUAUAUAUAAUUUUAUGUAUCAAUCUCUCACAGGUAUCAGUAUUAUUCUCAUUACCUUUACCAUUGUUUAUUGUUUAUCUCUCUGCUUUAUUUAUUUAUUUAUUUAUUUGCAUAUGUACCUAUUCAGUAUGUGAAUACAAAGGAGAUCUAGGUAUGUUAAAUGGACUUGCAGACAAACAUAUGGCUUAAAUAAGCCAUAAUAAAGGCCUUACACACACACACACACACACACACACACUCACACACACACACUGCUUUGCUUCAAAUAUACAAAUGCUUUUCGAUGCAGCGACUCUGAAAGAUAUUUAACUGUAUAUAGUGCAAUUUAAAUGAAGCCCAUGACAAAAAUGAUUAUGCAUGUCACACUGGUUCUUCACAACCUAAAUCUACUGUAUUUUAGCUAUACAAUACAAAGUUAUCUAAUCUUUGUAAAGUUGUAUCUAUGUUUUUUUUUCCUCUCCUGGAAACAUAAAAAAAAGUCGUAAAUAUUUGAAUAUAUGUGUAUUAUGUAGGAUAAUCCAUCAUGUGUCUGCUAAAAAGCUCCAACGUGUGCAAUACCUUUUUAUGAAGGUUUGAAAGACUGGAUGAGAAAGUACAAAGUACAAUGUUUAAAUGUUUCUAUCCAUCCACUAUGGAUGCAAAAUAUUGUGUACGUUAUCAUGGUAUUGAAGCUUGUGAAAGAUUCUUGCACAAUCACGACGUACGUAGCUGAUUAUAUUUAUCUUUGUAGAGUUUGUUUUAAGAUUUGGAAUGAAUUUUAUUGGUUAGACUUUUGCUAAACCAAAAAAUAAUAAUAAUUCACACUUCUGUAUUAUAGGAUUGGUGAAUGUACCCGUUAACAGAGUGGUGUUAAACCAUUAAAACAUAAAUGAUUAUUGAAAGCUGCUAAAAUGUUCAAAACCAACUAGCAAGAGAUAAGGAUGGGUGAUUUGGCAAAAAUAUCAUGAUAUCAUGAUCAUAUUUUCACAAUACUCAAUAUACUGGAUAUCAUGAUACUUAGGUUUACAAAUGGGAAAACAGAUAUUUUAAUGAGAGAUGCAAGCGUGCCUACAGUAGCCAUUUUCAUUUGAAUUUGUAUGAAACAAAAUGUUUGCAAUUCCACACCUGCACCAUGUGUAAUGCUUGAUUCUUAUUUUUAAUUUUUUUUAAUUUUAUGUGCCAUGAUUAUUUUUUCUUUGUUUUAUUUUUAUUAUAUUUACACUUUUUUGUUUAUACAUAAUAAUAAAAAAACUGAUAUAAAAAAAUACAUUAUUUAUUUGUUUGUUUGUUUAUUUAUUUAUUUAUUUACUUACCUAUGUAAGUUUGUGUAUGAGAUAAAACCCAAAACAUACUGUUUUUUUUUUUCUAUCAUAAACAUGUGUGUGUAUGUAUGUACUGUAUAUAUGUAAAUCUGUUUUGUUAAUGUGGUCUUGUCUGUAUUGAUUAUUGUAUACAUGUGAUAUGUACAUUUUAAACGAUGUGUACCACGUGGCCAUGGACAUUUUGCAUUUCAAAGGGACCACUUUUGCAUUGUUCAUUUAAGUUUAUGGUAUGUGAUAUAUUUUGUAAUACUAAUGUAAAUGUUGGAUGAAUAAAAUACAUCAUGAAUUCCAUACA